UAAUUUGUCUAAGGCAAAUCCUCAACUAGUUAUGGUAGACCUAUACUUGACUACUCAAAAUCAUUCGUUAUUGCAAGCCCACUUAUAUCAAAUAACUAACUAGAAAUACAUUUGGAACACUAA
rfam:Populus trichocarpa isolate Nisqually-1 chromosome 11, whole genome shotgun sequence.